rnacentral:tRNA from 1 species
CAUUAGAUGGCUGAAAGAAAGUAAUGGUCUCUUAAACCAUAAUAUGGUAAUUAUCUACUACCUCUAAUGA